CCUACGGGGGGCAGCAGUGGGGGAUAUUGCACAAUGGGGGGAACCCUGAUGCAGCGACGCCGCGUGGGUGAAGAAGCGCCUCGGCGCGUAAAGCCCUGUCAGCAGGGAAGAACAAUGACGGUACCUGACUAAGAAGCACCGGCUAAAUACGUGCCAGCAGCCGCGGUAAUACGUAUGGUGCAAGCGUUAUCCGGAUUUACUGGGUGUAAAGGGAGCGCAGGCGGCUCGUUAAGCCUGGUGUGAAAUCCCGCGGCCCAAC
rnacentral:rRNA from 1 species